rnacentral:rRNA from 1 species
UGGGGAAUAUUGCACAAUGGGCGCAAGCCUGAUGCAGCCAUGCCGCGUGUAUGAAGAAGGCCUUCGGGUUGUAAAGUACUUUCAGUCGGGAGGAAGGUGGUAAGGUUAAUAACCUUAUCAAUUGACGUUACCGACAGAAGAAGCACCGGCUAACUCCGUGCCAGCAGCCGCGGUAAUACGGAGGGUGCAAGCGUUAAUCGGAAUUACUGGGCGUAAAGCGCACGCAGGCGGUUGAUUGAGUCAGAUGUGAAAUCCCCGGGCUUAACCCGGGAAUUGCAUCUGAUACUGGUCAGCUAGAGUCUUGUAGAGGGGGGUAGAAUUCCAUGUGUAGCGGUGAAAUGCGUAGAGAUGUGGAGGAAUACCGGUGGCGAAGGCGGCCCCCUGGUCUGUAACUGACGCUGAGGCUCGAAAGCGUGGGGAGCAAACAGG